CUGAACUGAGCUGCCGGUCCAAGUAGACUCAGUGUAAAGCAGAGCUGCAACCCAGGAGGGAUGGAGGUUGUGGAGAGAAUCAGAGCAAGUUAUUCCUUGUCAGACUAGUGCAGAGAACUGGAAUAUUUGGAAGCCUAUAACCACACUCUUCUGGCCCUAGGAAAUGUCUUCAAAGUGUGAGCACACAAGUAUUCAUGAGGAAAAGAGUGAGCCUGGUGGGUUUCACAGCGGCAGUGAGUAGAAGUAGAGCAAGGCCUGGAGAUUGAGCCAAAGUGCCCAUAGCAACAGAUCCCGAAGACUUCUUUAUCUUAAGCAGGGGAAUUUUCCAUUACCUGAAGAAACUCUUGGAAAGUGGGACAACAAUCAUUUCUCCUGUUCCCCAACUGACUCCUCUGUUUCUCUGCUGAGACUCCCAACAAAGGUGCCAAUUAGUGCCAAAUGUCAUGAUGUUUGAGCUGUAGACACCUGUCUUCUAAUAACUCGGCUGAGACCACCACCUCAUUUCACACAGGCUAUCAAACAGACAUCAAUUGGUAAUGGCCUAUAUUUACUACCAACCUGGUCUCAAGCCAAGACCUUCUCCCAUGAAAGUGCUUUAGCAUUCCUGAUGACAAGCAGCAAGUUCAACAUGUGUUCACUUUCCUCCAAUAAAAGGACCCAUGGCUGUGGCACUAAGUGCCACUAAGUGAUCAUGGCUCUAUCUCAUCCUCUGUGUUCCCUCCAUAUUUGAACUCUGUAGAGUGAGCCUCUCCUAAACAAGUAUUUUUAAUACCCAUUGAAGUGGAAUACAGAUUAAGAUUCAUGUGC